AUCGGGGGAACGCCCGGGGUACCGAGGCGGUACCGGCGCUGGGCUGGCCGGGAUGGGGGCUGGGUGGGAUACCGGGGCGGUACCGGCGCUGUGCUGGUCGGGAUGGGGGGCUCGCCGGGGUACCGGGGCAGCACCGGCGCUGGGCUGGCCGGGAUGGGAGGCUGGGUGGGAUACCGGAGCGGUACCGGCGCUCUGCUGGCCGGGGUACCGGGGCGGUACCGGCGCUGUGCUGGCCGCCGGCCCCGCCGUGCGGUGUUCGGUCACGAGUGCGCGGCACGCAGGCGCUGAGCGGCAGCGGGGGGACGGGGACGGGGCCCCACAAAGGCGCGGACGGUCCCUGGGUUGGUACCGCAGCUCCCGGGAUGCGCCCGAAGAGUUGAGCGGUUCUGCUUCACCGGGGGUAAUUUAGCUCCGCGAGUAUGCCCGACCCCAAUGGCUUAAAGCCGGGGUGAGGAGUGGCGAAUUAAUGCAGCAAACAUUUGAAAAUAAUCUUAUAAUACACGGACUUGGGGUUAAUUGUGGUGGUGGCUUCGCUCCGCGCCUCUGCCACACGUGCGGUGCAGCUCGGCGCGGAACGCGCACCCCGGCUGGUGCCGGCACCGCUCCCGGCACUGCACCCACGUGCCCUGUGAGAACCGGCCGUAACAUCUAGAAUGUAUUGUAAAUAGUGCUAAACAGGUGUUAAAUAAACCACAAUCGCUUUUGCAAUUUGCAUGUACAACAGGUAGUUAGAAAUCGCAUGAAAAAGAAGAAAAAAGUGCUAUAAAGUAGCUGCUGAUACAAAAAAUGUGCAGGAUGGAGAUCCUGCAGUUCCUAAAACUAUCGGCGGGUCUCAUUUCUACAACACCCCCUAACAUCCACUCUAAAUUGAUGCUGAGCAAGUAUUGGGACCAUCUGAUUGCAAUAGCAGGGUCAGAGUGCAGGUUUUGAACAGCCCCCAGGUUCCACAGCGUGGCUCCUCUCUGAAGUGACAUCCUCUACUUCCCCUCCACAUCCCCCAAGAAAGGGAACAUCAAAGGAUACCCAAACGAGGGUCGGGGCUGAUGGCUUUGGCAGUGCUCCUCUGGUUUGCUUUUUGCAAACAGUUAAGCACCCUCGGUAUUAUAUGAAAUAUAUUAAGUGUUAAUGCAAAAUUUAAAACACAUUAAAAUUCAACUUUGCAGGCCUCGCCGUUGAUCUCUUUGGAACAAUCCCUAUUUUAAUGAUCCAUGGAUAAAGGCAGGAGAGGACGGAGUUCUAACAGGAUUUAGGGCAGCGAGCUUCUCCUUCUGAUUCUGCCAAUAACUGUUUGCAGAAUCUUGAAAAAUCAUGUAAUCUUUCUCUAACAUCUCCCUGUUUGCAGAUGAUUGAACUUUAUUAUGGUAUGGAAGUGUUUUAUAGGCUAUAUAUUGAAGUGUGGAUUCCAGAUGUCUGUUGGAGCAAGUGCAUUAUUAAUCCAUAAUCCUGAGGAGAUAUAUACAUAUCUCGACCUUUCAGCCAAGAUUACUCAAUCUUAAAAUUAAAUACAUGUGUACAUCUGUAGGAUUGAGGUCAGAAUACAAGAUAAAUGGAUGUUACUAGAGAAUCAUCAGACAAAAAACACAUCAUCCAUCCAUGCUGCAAAAGUCUACCAAAAGAGACAGAACAGAGACAUAAAAGAAAAUCAACUCAUUUUUCUAAAUAUUUUUUUUUGGACAUGGACAAUCUGAGACUCUUGGUGUAUCAAGCAAACCCACCAAGACUGUAUCCAUCACAUACACCUGGAAACAUCAGAGCACAUUAUGGAAGUGUGGAAGUAAAUGUUUCAGAAACAACACAGUUUCUAUCUACAGAUGUCCAAAAAUAGAAGACACUUUUUAAAGCUUGUUUUAAGACAGAAAUUAUACCUAUUCAACUACAGUUCAUUAUACCAUGGAAAUAAUCUGUGUGUCAGUAACAAAAAACCUAUCCCAAACUUAAAAUAACUGGGGGAAAAAAUGGGGAGGGGGAAUGUGUAGGUUGUGGAUGAUGAGAAUGUCCAUAUCCACAGCUGCAUUAGACAGGAUAAAAACAUUUAGAAGCAAUAUUAAAUUCCUAUGCUUUGUGCUGGCUGGUGAGGGUUGAGGCUGGUUUUCCCUCUGGGCAGAUCAUGGCACAGUUUUCCAACAGUGCCCAGAGCUGGGCCCCAUCCAGCAGUGCUUGGAUGGGACAUCCCAGGGCUGACACAAGACUGGCCUUCUUCACAGUCAAAAAUAAGGGAAAAACACAUCAAAAUGCUGUGCUUUUUUGGCACUGUGAUAUAGUGUCAAAACCACAGCAUCUGCUGUGGAAAGGGGGUGGUGAUUAUUGGGAACGUGGCUGGGUUGAACUCUGAAAAAAACACUAAAACUUUUUUGCUGGAUGUUAAUGUAGUUUAAAUUAUUUAAGAUCUAAUCAUGCCAAGGCACUGGAUCCUGACCUCGUUAGCUUGGAACUGGGAGCUGUCAUUUAAUUAAUGUUGUACUGCGGGGCUCAUGCUGAAACCAGAGCUGAAGUUCUCUGCUGGGGAAGCCUCUAUGAAGACACAGGAUCAUUUCACCCCACUGAGCUUUAAAAGUUCCCAUUGCACAGAAUGGACUGGACUAAUCUUAAAACAUUUUUAAAAAUACUGUGUAUCCUGUAAGAUCUACCACUCUAUACUUUCUUUACCUUGGGUUAGGAUGGAAGAUGAGAUAUUUAAGUAUUUCUCUGUUUUAUGAAGGAAGCUGAAAUACAAUUUUUCUAGACAUGGUAGAUCAAAAUCUUUCCUCUGCAGAAAUUCCAUUAACUAAACGUUAAGCUCUACUCUAGAUGAGAUUUGCAAAGAUGUUUCCCUUAACCUCCCUGGGACUGCUGGCAAACCUGUAUUUGCCUUUGCAAGUUCAAAUGUGUUGUUUUUAAUGCAGAUCUGCCAUGACUUCCACUUUGUGCUGGCUUGAUUCGGGUUGGGUGCAGUAACAGGAACAAAUGGAAGUGCUGAUUUGCAUGUGAAGCUGGAGAUCCGUUUUAGCAAAGCUGCUCUGCCAGGGCAGCACCUCGGUGUGCUCAGCACCGGAUCACAUUAAUCACAGGGUACUCAGCGAACCUAUUCAGCCUCCUACAGAAAAUACAGAAGUACAUUUUUAGCAGAAAAAAAAGAACUGAAGGGAAUGCUUCUUUCAAAGCUACAACACUGAGGCUUGGAAUCUCAAAAUGACACAUGGGUCUGAUUUGGAAAAGGGCAUGAGAUGAAAUGCCUUUGCUCAUUCUCCAGGUCCUUUUUCAUGCUGUUUCUCUGAAUGAAAUACAAACUCAGCAGAACCUCAGUGUUUAAUGUUGUAUCUUUCAAAGCCCUUUCCAAUAAACAGGAAUAAGAGUGAUGGACAGGAAAAUAGAGGAACAGUGAGUUGAAAUAGUCUAUUUUAAUACAAUUAUUUAGAAAAACUCUUGAAGUCCUUGUCAGAUGUAUGUCUCCUGCAGGUGGUUCUUUUAUUUAGAGAAAUCUGAUUUUAGGGAACAGGUCAAGACCUAGUGCAGUAGUACUCCCUCAUGAUGUUACAGUUCAACCAUAAUUUUGCACAGAAACAAGAAGAAAUAGUGAACAAUCCACACUGGUUAUGUACUUGUACAUAAACAUUUGUCAUAGCUUAUGAGCAGCAAUGCAAAAUAUUUUUAAAUAUGUAAUUCCACAGGACAGGGACUUAAAUGUUUUUCUGAGAUGUGGAGGAAGUUCUAGUUACUGUUUUUGAUGGUUAUCAUAUCUUCCAAGAAAAAAGUGAUAAAUCACAAUUGGUUUGCUCUUAGCCUCAGGCACCAGUGGGAGACAGAGAUCUUCUGUUCUGGGUGGGUUUUGUUUUUUUUGGUUUUGGUUUUUUUUGCUUUUUUUUUGAAAGAAAGAAUAGUGUUUUGUAAUCACAGAUUCAUUUAAGUUGGGAAAAACCUUUAGGAUGAUCAAGUCUAACCACAAAGCUAACACUGCCAAAUCCACCUCUGGACUUCAACUCAAAUGGAUCCUACAAAGAAGUACUGUCACCCAAAAAAGAGAAAGAUUGUGGCCAAAAUUCCGUGGAGUAGGUGAUAGAACAGCAGAGGCUUUUAUGGAAAGACAGUCAAACUCAUUCUUCUACCGAGGUGUUUUAAUGCCCCGUAGAUAAAAGUCUCACCCGAAGUUGUUUAUAACAAGAGGACUGUGUUUAUUUCCUGAGAAGGGAAUGAGAUCAAAUCUACAUGGUACAGGGAAUGCCUCUGAAGACUUCAAAUCCUUCAGAUUAUUUUUCUUGGAUGUUUUCAUUACAUCUUUUUAAAAAGAAUGCCUUGGACAUGAAAAGCAUCAAGUGACCUUGUUGGUAUCGAUUGUCGUUCCCUUUGUUGUGCUUAAGAAGUGAAGAAUCUUGCAAAUCACAAAGGUGUGAAGAACAAAACAAAAAUGUUAAAGACAAUCUGCUGUGAUUUUCCUACUUGUAAAUAAGGUGGGAAAUGUCAAAACAAUACAAACUAACGAUGCUUUUGAUUGCUCAUGGAACUAGCAUGGAUUCAUCUCCUAGGUGACCAUCCAUAUGCCUGUUAAUAGUAAAAGUAUCCUUGUUGAGUAUUA